AACAGAGAAAGGAAAAGUUACCCAAAUGAACGGAAAUGAACUGUACCUGAGGAGAAUCGCGACGAUCAGGAAGAAAGGAAAAAUAUACAAAUGGAAACUAAUCCGGUGAGUUCUCCAACUGUUUUCGCACACUUUAUACAACUUCCCCUAAUUCUGUUAUCGUCUGUCUCGUUAGGUUAGUUUAAUUUAUUCGGAUCUCCUCCCUUUAAUUAGGUAAAGGAUCCGGGUUCAAUAAUUCCCAAAUUCAAAUGUCUAGGGGAGUCUUUACUAGCUGUUCUUCUUCUAUCUUUCACGCCUAUGACCUGGGAUUCUUCUUUUUUAUCCUUACAUCAAAUAAAGAAUUGCCUACAGACCCAGUUUUGAGCUUAAAGUGGCAGACAUCGCUUGCUUUCAGCCUAUUUGAAGCAACAAAUGAUUUCCACCCUCCUAUCAUGUGGAUGCGAUUCCGGGUCUGAUGAGAAAGAUUCACAUCAAAUAGCUCCCCAUUUUUAUUCCGAAGAGUCGCUGCUUUUGGCUUCUCUAAAAGUCCGGCUGCCGCUACAAAUGCAUUGGGAAUAUUCUGCAUAUAUAUUAUAAAAUGUAUGUCAAUACUCAAUAGCAGAAGAAUGCAGCUACAAAAGAUGAAAAAUUUAAACAGGAUCAUAUGUAUUUAUUUGCAUACAAGGUAAGGUUGAUCGAGAAUUCUCCCAGUGCACCAAAAAGUCAUAUCUUUAAUAUUACAUCCACAUUUUUGGCGACUUUUAAUAGCUUCAAGUCUGAAUGGGAAUCAUGCAAAGUUGAAAGAAAAAGAAUUAAAACAAACAGACAGACAAAGAAAUACGAAUAGAAGAUCACCUUUGUCUUUUAGAUUUUCUGAUUAUCCUGACUAAUAAUAUUAUAUUGCCAUUUUCGUUAGGAGCAAGCUGAAACUCGACAUCAUCUCCAGGUCUCAAUUUAUUUGAGAGACAGAAUUCUUUCCAACCUCUGGUAAGCACAGUUCGAUUAUUUGAUGAGUGCGUAAUUUCUAC
rnacentral:lncRNA from 1 species